ACGGGAGGCAGCAGUGGGGGAUAUUGCACAAUGGGGGAAACCCUGAUGCAGCGACGCCGCGUGAGUGAAGAAGUAUUUCGGUAUGUAAAGCUCUAUCAGCAGGGAAGAAAAUGACGGUACCUGACUAAGAAGCCCCGGCUAACUACGUGCCAGCAGCCGCGGUAAUACGUAGGGGGCAAGCGUUAUCCGGAUUUACUGGGUGUAAAGGGAGCGUAGACGGUGAGGCAAGUCUGAUGUGAAAGCUAUGGGCUCAACCCAUAAACUGCAUUGGAAACUGUCUUACUAGAGUGUCGGAGAGGUAAGUGGAAUUCCUAGUGUAGCGGUGAAAUGCGUAGAUAUUAGGAGGAACACCAGUGGCGAAGGCGGCUUACUGGACGAUAACUGACGUUGAGGCUCGAAAGCGUGGGGAGCAAACAGGAUUAGAUACCCUGGUA
rnacentral:rRNA from 1 species